GAUACGGAUUCUUAACGUCGCAAGACGAUAAAUGAAUACCAAGUCUCUGAGUGAACACGUAAUUCAUUACGAAGUUUAAUUCACGAGCAUCAAACUUAAAUUGAAGAGUUUGAUCAUGGCUCAGAUUGAACGCUGGCGGCAGGCCUAACACAUGCAAGUCGAACGGUAACAGAAAGCAGCUUGCUGCUUUGCUGACGAGUGGCGGACGGGUGAGUAAUGUCUGGGAAACUGCCUGAUGGAGGGGGAUAACUACUGGAAACGGUAGCUAAUACCGCAUAACGUCGCAAGACCAAAGAGGGGGACCUUCGGGCCUCUUGCCAUCGGAUGUGCCCAGAUGGGAUUAGCUAGUAGGUGGGGUAAUGGCUCACCUAGGCGACGAUCCCUAGCUGGUCUGAGAGGAUGACCAGCCACACUGGAACUGAGACACGGUCCAGACUCCUACGGGAGGCAGCAGUGGGGAAUAUUGCACAAUGGGCGCAAGCCUGAUGCAGCCAUGCCGCGUGUAUGAAGAAGGCCUUCGGGUUGUAAAGUACUUUCAGCGAGGAGGAAGGUGUUGUGGUUAAUAACCACAGCAAUUGACGUUACUCGCAGAAGAAGCACCGGCUAACUCCGUGCCAGCAGCCGCGGUAAUACGGAGGGUGCAAGCGUUAAUCGGAAUUACUGGGCGUAAAGCGCACGCAGGCGGUUUGUUAAGUCAGAUGUGAAAUCCCCGGGCUCAACCUGGGAACUGCAUUUGAAACUGGCAAGCUUGAGUCUCGUAGAGGGGGGUAGAAUUCCAGGUGUAGCGGUGAAAUGCGUAGAGAUCUGGAGGAAUACCGGUGGCGAAGGCGGCCCCCUGGACGAAGACUGACGCUCAGGUGCGAAAGCGUGGGGAGCAAACAGGAUUAGAUACCCUGGUAGUCCACGCUGUAAACGAUGUCGACUUGGAGGUUGUGCCCUUGAGGCGUGGCUUCCGGAGCUAACGCGUUAAGUCGACCGCCUGGGGAGUACGGCCGCAAGGUUAAAACUCAAAUGAAUUGACGGGGGCCCGCACAAGCGGUGGAGCAUGUGGUUUAAUUCGAUGCAACGCGAAGAACCUUACCUGGUCUUGACAUCCACAGAACUUAGCAGAGAUGCUUUGGUGCCUUCGGGAACUGUGAGACAGGUGCUGCAUGGCUGUCGUCAGCUCGUGUUGUGAAAUGUUGGGUUAAGUCCCGCAACGAGCGCAACCCUUAUCCUUUGUUGCCAGCGGUUCGGCCGGGAACUCAAAGGAGACUGCCAGUGAUAAACUGGAGGAAGGUGGGGAUGACGUCAAGUCAUCAUGGCCCUUACGACCAGGGCUACACACGUGCUACAAUGGCAUAUACAAAGAGAAGCGACCUCGCGAGAGCAAGCGGACCUCAUAAAGUAUGUCGUAGUCCGGAUUGGAGUCUGCAACUCGACUCCAUGAAGUCGGAAUCGCUAGUAAUCGUAGAUCAGAAUGCUACGGUGAAUACGUUCCCGGGCCUUGUACACACCGCCCGUCACACCAUGGGAGUGGGUUGCAAAAGAAGUAGGUAGCUUAACCUUCGGGAGGGCGCUUACCACUUUGUGAUUCAUGACUGGGGUGAAGUCGUAACAAGGUAACCGUAGGGGAACCUGCGGUUGGAUCACCUCCUUACC
rnacentral:rRNA from 1 species